rnacentral:rRNA from 1 species
UUCCGGUUGAUCCUGCCGGACCUGAUUGCUAUCGGAUUGAUACUAAGCCAUGCGAGUCAUUGUAGCAAUACAAGGCAGACGGCUCAGUAACGCGUAGUCAACCUAACCUAUGGACGGGAAUAACCUCGGGAAACUGAGAAUAAUGCCCGAUAGAACACUAUACCUGGAAUGGUUUGUGUUCCAAAUGAUUUAUCGCCGUAGGAUGGGACUGCGGCCUAUCAGUUUGUUGGUGAGGUAAUGGCCCACCAAGACUAUUACAGGUACGGGCUCUGAGAGGAGUAGCCCGGAGAUGGGUACUGAGACACGGACCCAGGCCCUAUGGGGCGCAGCAGGCGAGAAAACUUUGCAAUGUGCGAAAGCACGACAAGGUUAAUCCGAGUGAUUUGUGCUAAACGAAUCUUUUGUUAGUCCUAGAAACACUAACGAAUAAGGGGUGGGCAAGUUCUGGUGUCAGCCGCCGCGGUAAAACCAGCACCUCAAGUGGUCAGGAUGAUUAUUGGGCCUAAAGCAUCCGUAGCCGGCUCUGUAAGUUUUCGGUUAAAUCUGUACGCUUAACGUACAGGCUGCCGGGAAUACUGCAGAGCUAGGGAGUGGGAGAGGUAGACGGUACUCGGUAGGAAGGGGUAAAAUCCUUUGAUCUAUUGAUGACCACCUGUGGCGAAGGCGGUCUACCAGAACACGUCCGACGGUGAGGGAUGAAAGCUGGGGGAGCAAACCGGAUUAGAUACCCGGGUAGUCCCAGCUGUAAACUAUGCAAACUCAGUGAUGCAUUGGCUUGUGGCCAAUGCAGUGCUGCAGGGAAGCCGUUAAGUUUGCCGCCUGGGAAGUACGUACGCAAGUAUGAAACUUAAAGGAAUUGGCGGGGGAGCACCACAAGGGGUGAAGCCUGCGGUUCAAUUGGAGUCACGCCGGA